CUACUGGAUAGUAGCUCUCCAGGACCGGAGUUGGAGACCCCUGCUCUAAAGUCUCUUCAGCCAACCCAUGUCUUUCCCCUUAAUUUUACUCCCCCUAGCAAACAGCAGUGAAGAAGACAUUGGCUAUGAUGGACCAGGAAAAAUGUAUAACUGAUUUCUAGACUCUGUUGACUCUGUUAAAGUUGUGACUGUGACUCUUUAUACUCAUUUGAUUGAAACAAAAUCUUGGUCUGGAUUUGUACUUUUUGAAGCUGACCUUUCCACCACUGCUAGGGGAUCAUUUAUGCGGAUAUUAGCUAUUAACACAUAAAACGUUGACACCUAUCUUUAACUCCAGAAAGCUGAUUCAGGGAGCAGACUAUUUCUAAGGCAUUAUUCUGAUUAUCAUUUUUCAAUCUGACUUUCUUGAAGUUUUUCAAAUAUGUUUUUGCUUGAGAACUUUUUUGCGGUUUUUAAAUGUAAAAUUAAAUGCUAUAAACUUUCUAGGUCAUAUAAUUAAACUCCAGUGGCAUACACAACUACUAGUGUACUACUGCCUAUGUUAAGUGACCCAACUCAAGACCUUAGGGUAUAUUUUAGUGUGUGUGUGUGUGUGUAUAUAUAUAUACACACACACACACACACACACAUAUACAUUUGUUAGUCUUAUUUACUGUAGGUUAUUUGUUUGAAUUAAAAUUUUAUGCAAAUAACACAUAUAUAUAUAUGUGUUAUAUAUGCAUUCUCGGUAUCUGUAUGCAUUCUCAGAAUCCAUAAAAUAUGGUCAUGCUCUUCAGUAAUUGGGACCUGGCCUGAACCUGUGAUAGAACAGGGAGCAUUCCUGGUUCUGGAAUACUCGGCAGAAUUCCAUGUGUAUUUACUUCCUUUGCCCUGGUGCUGGGGUCUGUUUGUUUGGUGGUUUCCCUUAGAGGCCCUGCUGCGAUACCAGGUGACUGGCAAGUGCAGCAUGAAGAAUUUGAUGGUAACAGACCCACCUUCGCUUUCCCUCCAACCUGACCAGCAUGCCUUCCUGUGGUUUGAUAAAACUCCCACUCAGUUCUGGCUAAUUAGACCCUGCUGUGUUUGUGUUAGAUCUGUGAGUACAUGCAAGACAAGGCAACCUUUAUGAUCCCCAUACUGUUCUGUUUUGGUAACUAGCACGUGAUCCUGCGACAUAUCAGUCUCUGGAGUGAUACGGAUAAUUCAUCAGGUGACCAGGAAGUGAAUUCGCGCAUGACCAAGCUAGAGCUAUUUGCCACUGGACGGGUGUGAUGAUGACCGGACUCCGGAGAUUCUGAUUCACUUGAGUGACACACCUGCCUAUGCCCUGGCCUUGCUCCGCGGUAACCCGUAAAAGCUGCCAUCUUGUGCUGCCUAACCCUAUCGUGUGUUUUAUAUGCCCGUAUUCUGUAUAAAGCGAGACGCUGUCUGGGAAGCCCUCUUUGUCUGGACCCAACCCAGCAGACGGCUGACUUAAUGAGCCUUGAAGAGAGGGGGCAGAUGAUUGGCUCUGGCAGGUGGCACGGUGCAUCCUUUCAGUGUCUGCCAGGCUCCUCGCUGCUUUAACUGCUGGGAUAAUAGUUUCGGUCAGGUGUGUCUCCACGGUCGCACUCAGGCUCUGGCCCAAACUGUCUCUGCCAGUAAGUAAUGGGCUCGCCCCCAUUUGGUCCAAGUGCGAGGCUGGAACAGCCUGGACAAGAACGCUGACUGUGCCCAGCUGAGACAAAGCCACAGGUCCUGAGGAGUGAGGGUGCUUUUAUGUACCACCUGACACAGUAAUUCUUCUGUAAGAUGGGGCUGGGCACACUCAUUAAUGGCUGGGGAUCACUUCAUCUGUGCCGUAUUAUCAUAGCAAACCUGGUCCUGUUUUCCCUCUAAGGCCCAGAACACACACACAGGGUGCCUGAUUCCACAUCCUGUUAUAAUCCUGUACCCACCUGGUUUUCUUGUUUUCCUCUUAUCCCCCCCCCCCUAUCAUUUUCUAAGCUCUACCUCCCAAAGCCAAAGUCCCUAUCUCCCGCCACCCAUUCCUGGGUCCUGUGGAUCACUCUAUCACACCUGGAUUACCUAUCGGGACUGAGCAAUUAUGAUGUAAUAAAGGUCACUCCUUGCCUCCCUUGAAAAACAAACAUCCAGUUGAAAAGCACAUUCAGAGGAAGGACAACAGUCAUCAGACAGCCACACUGAUGCUUUGCUACUGGCAGCAAAGGGACUUCAGUUAAACUAUUGUGGAUUUCUGCCUAAGAAGAUCAUAUUCAUUGACUAGGAUCUGGUGGGACUGUGGCAGUCCGUGUGCGGGCAAUUAUGCAGAGCAAAGAUAGCGUGGAGAUUAUUUGCAUUUUCAUACCCGCCAUGUGGCACAAAAAUGUCGAGUGGACACCCUUUCAAGCUGGACAGGGCUAAUGCCUAAAUGAGACACUUCAUGCUUCACGUUCAGACGAGUCCAGUUAAAUUACAGUGAUCUUUCAUCAAAGUGCCUCUGCCCUCAAAAGGGAAUGCAGUGAGACAAUCAUGGACACACUGGAAAGGGAUAAUUGGCCAUUUCCAUGUUAAUGUAAAUAGUACACAGGGACAACCAGGGAGGAUAAUAAGAUGGGUAAAAUCUUUCUGGUCCAUUUAUACAAAUUACAUAUUUUUCGCACGUGUUCUGAUCUCCGUAUGUCAUCCCAAAACGAUCAGAGAGAUGGCUGCCUUAAGCUUAGUGAGAUUUCCCCUGGACAUGCAAAACAUACCCAAAAAUGGCAACCGACAAAUACAGUCCUUCAUUGGCUGUUACUUCAUGCUACCCAGACCUGCAAAAAGGGGAGCCGUAAAUUUGGUUUUAUAGUCCGAAAAAAUCGGAGGCUUCACGCUGAGCAUUCGGCAGCCUAGAAGUGACGAGGCUGAUUCCUGUUUCAGGAUGGAUUGCGAAACACACAGUUUCUCUCCCCCCUGCCACCCCCUUCUGAAAAUAAACAUUUUGUUCAUAACUCUAUGUUUAGAUUGAGUGACACAUAGAUUCACAAAGGAACUGGAUGUAAAUCAUAGACAGGCAGGCUCAGGAACAAAAAUAGACCUAAAGGUAUGAUUUGGAAGGUUCCAGACACAACAGCCAUCUGUUCUCUGUGUACGCUGGGAAGGCCACACUGCCCUCGAUCGGUGCGCUGACGCUGCGCUGAGAACGCACUCUGUGCCUGAUUGACACAGCAGGCGAUGAAUCUCCUCAUUAUUCUUUUACUCACAUUCACGGCAUCUGGCCUCCUACACAAGUGCCACGUAUAUUAAAAACAACCCAGUUCUGUGUUUUAUUACUUGGUUUGCUUUAGUCAUUCAGUAAAUAAAUCUGAGCAAGAUACUUUACAACAUGUGUAUGUAUGUUUGGUAUUUGGUCAUUGAUCUGCAUCAGGUGUACUGCUGGAGAUUCUGGACUCCAUGACAUCAUAUCAUACUGGGCCCCCAACUCAGACCAAUCCACUUACGUUCCAAAUUAUUUAGGGCCCUUGUCACUCAGGGGCCCUUUGAAUCAUCCUAACUUUCCCCAUCUAUAUAGUGUCCUGAUCUGGGUGACACUGGUGCUUAGUGGGCAAUACUGAUACCUCACACCUCCCAGUUUGGGUGUCCAAAUUCUGCCUCUUGCAUAUUUUCUGCAUGGUUCCUGAGUUUCCCAUAGUCCAAAGACAUGCAGUUAGGAUCAUCAAUGCCUCUAAAUUGCCCCAAGAGUAUGAUAGUGUGUAUAUGGACUGGCAUCCCAUCCGGGGUGUAGCCCAGCCUCGUGCCCUGUUACCUAGGACAGGAAAAGUGGUUCAUGAGUGGAUGGAUGGUAUGUGAACUGCUUCCUUACCACUUAUCAUUGCAGUGAUACAUUUGGUACAAUCUAAUUCCACUGCUCAUUGCUUAAAACAAUAUAAUCAGCAACAAUGUCAAGAAAAAUAACUGGACUUUUUUUUACCACAAUCAGUCCAAAAACUAAAUCAAUUUAAUAAAUCAAUAAUCAUACAAUGUAACUGUAAGUAUUCUCAAAAAUCUUAAUGUCAUUAGCCAAGAAAGCCCCCCCAAAAACACCCCCAGAGCAGUAUAUUAUGCAAAGCCCUGGAUUCUUCUAAAUUCAGCAAGAACAUGAUGCAAUAAUCUCACCUGCCAUUGGGAGAAAAAGUCAUAAAAGACAAAAUAUUUAACAGUGAAUAUUUCUGGACCCAGUUUAUGGGCAUAGUAGACACCACUCUGACUUGAAUGGUCUAAAAAUAGGCGUGUUAAACCAUUUAAAGGUCCCCGGUGUGCUUCUGAUUUUUUUUUUGGCACAAAGAGAGCUCUGUGGAGGCCGCCACAGGGCCUCGGAUUGGUCACUGCGUGACUCCGGGAUCGUGGAAACGCUCUCCAUAAACGGCACUUUCACGGAGUCCUGGAGAGCUUAGCUUGGAUCACUGUGCUACAGUGA